GCACUGAGCUACGCUCUAUACCCUUUGUGAACAUACCUAUAACUGUUGCUUCGGCGGGUAGGGUCUCCGUGACCCUCCCGGCCUCCCGCCCCCGGGCGGGUCGGCGCCCGCCGGAGGAUAACCAAACUCUGAUUUAACGACGUUUCUUCUGAGUGGUACAAGCAAAUAAUCAAAACUUUUAACAACGGAUCUCUUGGUUCUGGCAUCGAUGAAGAACGCAGCGAAAUGCGAUAAGUAAUGUGAAUUGCAGAAUUCAGUGAAUCAUCGAAUCUUUGAACGCACAUUGCGCCCGCCAGCAUUCUGGCGGGCAUGCCUGUUCGAGCGUCAUUUCAACCCUCAAGCUCUGCUUGGUGUUGGGGCCCUACAGCUGAUGUAGGCCCUCAAAGGUAGUGGCGGACCCUCCCGGAGCCUCCUUUGCGUAGUAACUUUACGUCUCGCACUGGGAUCCGGAGGGACUCUUGCCGUAAAACCCCCAAUUUUCCAAAGGUUGACCUCGGAUCAGGUAGGAAUACCCGCUGAACUUAAGCAUAUCAAA
rnacentral:rRNA from 1 species